CUGGGCCGUUACUGACGCUGAGGAGCGAAAGCGUGGGGAGCGAACAGGAUUAGAUACCCUGGUAGUCCACGCCGUAAACGGUGGAUGCUGGAUGUGGGGCCCGUUCCACGGGUUCCGUGUCGGAGCUAACGCGUUAAGCAUCCCGCCUGGGGAGUACGGCCGCAAGGCUAAAACUCAAAGAAAUUGACGGGGGCCCGCACAAGCGGCGGAGCAUGCGGAUUAAUUCGAUGCAACGCGAAGAACCUUACCUGGGCUUGACAUGUUCCCGACAGCCGUAGAGAUAUGGCCUCCCUUCGGGGCGGGUUCACAGGUGGUGCAUGGUCGUCGUCAGCUCGUGUCGUGAGAUGUUGGGUUAAGUCCCGCAACGAGCGCAACCCUCGCCCCGUGUUGCCAGCACAUGAUGGUGGGAACUCACGGGGGACCGCCGGGGUUAACUCGGAGGAAGGUGGGGAUGACGUCAGAUCAUCAUGCCCCUUACGUCCAGGGCUUCACGCAUGCUACAAUGGCCGGUACAACGGGAUGCGACACGGCGACGUGGAGCGGAUCCCUGAAAACCGGUCUCAGUUCGGAUUGGAGUCUGCAACCCGACUCCAUGAAGGCGGAGUCGCUAGUAAUCGCGGAUCAGCAACGCCGCGGUGAAUGCGUUCCCGGGCCUUGUACACACCGCCCGUCAAGUCAUGAAAGUGGGUAGCACCCGAAGCCGGUGGCCUAACCCUUUGUGGAUGGAGCCGUCUAAGGUGAGACUCGUGAUUGGGACUAAGUCGUAACAAGGUAGCCGUACCGGAAGGUGCGGCUG
rnacentral:rRNA from 1 species